rnacentral:tRNA from 1 species
GGCGAGAUAAUUCAGUUGGCUAGAAUGUUCGGUUCAUACCCGAAAUGUCGGGGGUUCAAAUCCCUCUCUCGCUACCA